rnacentral:tRNA from 1 species
GGAGAGGUGGCCGAGCGGUUGAAGGCGGCGGUCUCGAAAACCGUUAUAGGGUCCUGCCCUAUCGUGGGUUCGAAUCCCACCCUCUCCGCCA